GGGCUUGUGGUUUAGUGGUAUAAUUUUCCCUUAGCAUAUUCGGAGCGUGGGAAAGGUCCUGGGUUCGAUUCCCAGCAAGUCCA